rnacentral:lncRNA from 1 species
AACCAACCCGACCGCCCUGUCUGUCUGUACAGCCCACACUUAAGAUACGGAAACAGGAGCCCGGGGAGAUGCGCCUGCAGCUCUCCUCCACGGGCGCCGUCGGAACGCCGAGGCAGCUCCAGCCCGCUGCAUUCUCCUCGCACGGGCCCGCCGCUCGUAGCGGCCCAGGCUCCUUCCAGAAAUUCGCUUUCGGCCCUCCCACGCCGAGAGUCGCGUCCGGCCCUCCCUUCCUCGCCGCCUCCCCACCCGCCGGGGCCGGGCACGGCCGCCCCGCUCCCUCUAGCGGCUGGCGGGGGCAGAGGGGGCUCCCGGCCCCGCGCGGCGCGGUCCCGCCCACCCCGCCGCAGGGCCCCCAUUGGCGGCCGCCGCGGGCCGAGGCGGGGGCGCCGCGCUCCGAUUGGCUCGGGCGCCCGUCCGUCCCACACUCGCCAUGGUGACCACGUUGGGUCCCGGGAGAGUUCCCAAUUCCGCCCCCGCCCGCGCCCCCUCCCGGCCCGGCCCGGCCCGGCCCGGCCCGCAGCAUUCCGAAGGCGGCUCUGCCCUCCCCCCGCGGCCCCGCGGCCCCUCCGCACCCGACGUCCGGGGCCGGGAGGUGGCGGGAGCCCGGGAGGGGGCCAGGAAGUUCUGCCCGGAGUUUGGGGGUUGCUGCGGACGCUGCGCCCCUCUCCUCCAGCACGCCCCGCCUUAACCCCUUCCCUCCCGCGGAAGGUUCGCGGGCUGGGGGAGUCCCCGGGCGCCGCGGCCCGCCGCCCCCGGCCCUGCCGCCCCCGCUCACCUCGGCCGGGCACCCGCGGGCUCCGGACGUCCGACCCGCCGCGGCUGGGCGGAGCGGGCACGGGGCUGGCUGCGGCCGCCGCCGGGAGGGCCGAGGGAGGGCCGCCGAGUCUCCUCCUCCCUCCCGGGGGGGAGGGGAGGGAGGGGAGGGGAGGGAGGGGGAGACGGCGGGGCGGGGACCGGGGCGGGGGGCCCGGGCGAGCGGCGGCGCCGUGUGACCUGGGCCCGCCGAGUUGCCGCGGUGGGGGCAGCGGCCGGGCUCGGGCCGGGGCGGGGCGGGGCGGGGCGGGGCGGCGGGCCCCGCUGGAGAGCGAGCGGGACCCGACGGAGGCCCGGCCCCGCCUGGAGGCCGGGUCUGGGGGCCUCGAGGGGUCCGGCCUCCCGCCUCGGGUUUCCGAGCGCCGGCGCCGCCCCAGGCGCCCUGCUGCAGGGGUGGGCGCCGCCGUCCUGCGGGGCGCGGGGUGCGGGGCGCGGGGCGCGCCGGCCGAGCGUUCACUGUUACCUGCAUUCCUCCGGGGAGCCGCGGAGCAGCAAGUCUCUGCCCUUCACCGGGCCUCAGUUUCCCCUUCGUGCCGCAAAACGGCUCAUCGAAGUAACCUCCCGCGUGUGGGGAAGGCUGGUGGGCCCUUGGCCCGCGGGGCGGAGGUUUUCCCCGAGGUGCCGCUGAGCUCCGUGCCGGCGGUACGGGAAGGCGCUCCAGGGCGCCCUGGGCGGGCUUCCUCUGCUUUGGGAAUGAGGUGGCUGCGGUUUGGGCAGGAGAUGGGGUCGGACACCUUUCCACACCAUAUCCUGUACCUGGAAGGCGACUGCAAAGAUUCCUCCCCACCCCCGCCCCCACCCCCCUUUUUUUCUUUUCUUUUAAAGUAG